rnacentral:rRNA from 1 species
UUGGAGGGCAAGUCUGGUGCCAGCAGCCGCGGUAAUUCCAGCUCCAAUAGCGUAUAUUAAAGUUGUUGCAGUUAAAAAGCUCGUAGUUGAAUUUCGGGGUCAGUAGGUUGGUCAUGCCACUGGUAUGUACUGGUCUCACUGAUUCCUCCUUCCUGAUGAGCCGUAAUGCCAUUAAUUUGGUGUUGCGAGGAAUCUGGACUGUUACUUUGAAAAAAUUAGAGUGUUUAAAGCAGGCUCACGCUUGAAUACAUUAGCAUGGAAUAAUGAAAUAGGACGUUUGAUUCUAUUUUGUUGGUUUCUAGGAUCGACGUAAUGAUUAAUAGGGAUAGUUGGGGGCAUUAGUAUUCAAUUGUCAGAGGUGAAAUUCUUGGAUUUAUUGAAGACUAACUACUGCGAAAGCAUUUGCCAAGGAUGUUUUCAUUAAUCAAGAACGAAAGUUAGGGGAUCGAAGACGAUCAGAUACCGUCGUAGUCUUAACCAUAAACUAUGCCGACUAGGGAUCGGAUGAUGUUAAUUUUUUAAUGACUCAUUCGGCGCCUUACGGGAAAC